AGGAAUUGGCGGGGGAGCACCACAAGGGGUGAAGCCUGCGGUUCAAUUGGAGUCAACGCCAGGAAACUUACCAGGAGAGACAGCAGGUUGAGGGUCAGUCUGAAGAACUUACCUGACGAGCUGAGAGGAGGUGCAUGGCCGUCGCCAGCUCGUGCCGUGAGGCGUCCUGUUAAGUCAGGCAACGAGCGAGACCCCUAUCGGUAAUUGCUAACUGCCCAGAGAUGGGUAGAGGCUAGUUACAGAGACUGCCGUUGAUAAAACGGAGGAAGGAAGGGGCCACGGCAGGUCAGUAUGCCCCGAAACUCCUGGGCCACACGCGGGCUGCAAUGGUAGGGACAAUAGGUUCCGACCUCGAAAGAGGAAGGCAGUCCCGAAACCCUACCCCAGUUGUGAUCGAGGAUUGAAACCCGUCCUCGUGAAUAUGGAAUCCCUAGUAACCGCGUGUCAUCACCGCGCGGUGAAUACGUCCCUGCUCCUUGCACACACCGCCCGUC
rnacentral:rRNA from 1 species